rnacentral:lncRNA from 1 species
UGUAGACGUGGGCCAUACAGACAAACCUUUCCAUAUCAUCAAAACACUUUACAAGGACAAGUAGGAAACAUAUUUUAGUAUACAUGGUGGUUAAAAUUUGAACAAGACCAGUUAUGAAUAUCAUCUGCUAAAAGGAGUGACUGGUAGUCAUGACCACAUCAAUACAGACUCAACUAGGCCAUAUACUAACAGAGUUGACUCAACAGGCCAAGACAUAUAACAGAUUGACUCAACUAGGCCAGAUAUACUAACAGAGUUGACUCACUAGGCCAGACAUAUAACAGAGUUGACUCAACUAGGACAUAAUAAUAACAGAGUUGACUCAACUAGGACAUAUAUACUAACAGAGUUGACUCAACUAGGACAUAUAUACUAACAGAGUUGACUCAACUAGGCCAGACAUACUAACAGAGUUGACUCAACUAGGACAGAUAUACUAACAGAGUUGACUCAACUAAGGACAGAUUAUACUAACAGAGUUGACUCAACUAGGACAGAUUACUACAGAGUUGACUCAACUACGACAGAUGUUACUAACAGAGUUGACUCAACUGAGGCCAGACGUACUAACAGAGUUGACUCAACUUGGCCAGACGUACUAACAGAGUUGACUCAACUAGGCCAGACGUACUAACAGAGUUGACUCAACUAGGCCAGACGUACUAACAGAGUUGACUCAACUAGGACAUAUAUACUAACAGAGUUGACUCAAACUAGGCCAGACGUACUAACAGAGUUGACUCAACUAGGACAUAUAACACAGAGUUGACUCAACUAGGACAUAUUUACUAACAGAUUGACUCAAACUAGGCAUAUAUACUAACAGAGUUGACUCAACUAGGCCAGACCAUACAACAGAGUUGACUCAACUAGGACUAUGUAUAACAGAGUUGACUCAACUAGGCCAGACGUACUAACAGAGUUGACUCAACUAGGACUAUAUACUACAGAGUUGACUCAACUUGGCCAGACGUACUAACAGAGUGACUCAACUGGCCAGACUACUAACAUUGACUCAAUUUGGCCAGACUACUACAGAGUUGACUC